UCCUUCUUAGCUCAGUUGGUAGAGCGCGUCACUAGUAUGUGUAUUAUGUUAUGACGAGGUCAGUCGUUCAAGUCGGCUAGAAGGAA